rnacentral:lncRNA from 1 species
UGCAUAACAACCUUAGCCUAUCUUCCAUAACUAUGUUCUCUUGUACGAACCCGGUAGAAGCAUCAACAACUGUCAUUAACAGCUGUCCUCGCCGUUCACCUAUGCCGCCGAACAGGUGAUCUGGAUCUUGACCUAUGCUGCCGAACAGGUGAUCUGGAUCUUGACCUAUGCUUCCGAACAGGUGAUCUUGACUUAUGCUUCCGAACAGGUGAUUUUGAUCUUGAUCUAUGCUUCCGAACAGGUGAUCUGGAUCUUGACUUAUGCUUCCGAACAGGUGAUCUGGAUCUUGACCUAUGCUUCCGAACAGGUGAUCUGGAUCUUGACCUAUGCUUCCGAACUGGUGAUUUGGAUCUUGACCUUCUUACCCUGCAUAAAAAGGAAACCCUGUAAAUAAACAAGGCACAGCUGUAGUAUAAAUGGGAACCCAUACAAAUUCACCUGAGUAGCUUAUAUUGUUAUAUGAUGAUGGUAGUUUGUCUCAAAAAUAUAAACCUUAAACAUGAUUAACUUAAUGGCAACAAACCUGG